rnacentral:rRNA from 1 species
UACGGAGGAUGCGAGCGUUAUCCGGAUUUAUUGGGUUUAAAGGGUGCGUAGGCGGAUUGAUAAGUCAGCGGUGAAAACCUUCAGCUUAACUGGAGAAUUGCCGUUGAUACUGUUAGUCUUGAGGAUGGUCAAGGUAGGCGGAAUGUGUAAUGUAGCGGUGAAAUGCUUAGAUAUUACACAGAACACCGAUUGCGAAGGCAGCUUACUGGGCCAUAACUGACGCUGAGGCACGAAAGCGUGGGGAGCGAACAGGAUUAGAUACCCUGGUAGUCCACGCCGUAAACGAUGAUCACUCGCUGUUAGCGAUACACUGUUAGCGGCUAAGCAAAAGCAUUAAGUGAUCCACCUGGGGAGUACGGCCGCAAGGCUGAA